CGACGGUUAAAGCAUCUUCGGAUGUGUAUAAAGUGGCGAACGGCUGUGUAACACGUGGGCAACCNNNNCUUUGCACUGGGAUAGCCUCGGGAAACCGAGGUUAAUACCGGAUACUCCAUAUUUGUCGCAUGGCGAAUAUGGGAAAGCUCCGGCGGCAAAGGAUGGGCCCGCGGCCUGUUAGCUAGUUGGUGGGGUAGUGGCCUACCAAGGCAAUGAUGGGUAGCCGGGUUGAGAGACCGACCGGCCAGAUUGGGACUGAGACACGGCCCAGACUCCUACGGGAGGCAGCAGUGGGGAAUCUUGCACAAUGGGCGAAAGCCUGAUGCAGCGACGCCGCGUGCGGGAUGAAGGCCUUCGGGUUGUAAACCGCUUUCAGCAGGGACGAGGCCGCAAGGUGACGGUACCUGCAGAAGAAGCCCCGGCUAACUACGUGCCAGCAGCCGCGGUAAUACGUAGGGGGCAAGCGUUAUCCGGAUUCAUUGGGCGUAAAGCGCGCGUAGGCGGUCUGUUAGGUCAGGAGUUAAAUCUGGGGGCUCAACCCCUAUCCGCUCCUGAUACCGGCAGGCUUGAGUCUGGUAGGGGAAGAUGGAAUUCCAAGUGUAGCGGUGAAAUGCGCAGAUAUUUGGAAGAACACCGGUGGCGAAGGCGGUCUUCUGGGCCAUGACUGACGCUGAGGCGCGAAAGCUAGGGGAGCGAACAGGAUUAGAUACCCUGGUAGUCCUAGCUGUAAACGAUGGACACUAGGUGUGGGGAGAUUAUACUUUCCGUGCCGCAGCUAACGCAUUAAGUGUCCCGCCU
rnacentral:rRNA from 1 species